GUGAAUACACCUUGUUUAAUGUCUCUUCCAAAUUCGGCUCACCUACACAAAAGAUGAGUGGAAUUAAAUUAAUGCACAUUCAGCAAGUAAAGAUGAAUUAUAACACAUUAAAAACCAGCAGCAGCCAAAACAAUUAAUCUGCUCAUAAAUUCGGCUGAACUUAGGCAUAAUAAAUCAGCAAUAAGACACAUUAAAUAAUUGUAAUAAAACAAACACAUUUAUGCUGUGUAAUAGUUAAAACAAAUUAAAAACAUGUAUUGA
rnacentral:lncRNA from 1 species